rnacentral:rRNA from 1 species
GACGAACGCUGGCGGCGUGCUUAACACAUGCAAGUCGAACGGAAAGGCCCCUUUGGGGGUACUCGAGUGGCGAACGGGUGAGUAACACGUGAGUAACCUGCCCUUGACUUCGGGUUAACUUCAGGAAACUGGGGCUAAUACCGGAUAGGAAUCCUUGCUGCAUGGUGGGGGUUGGAAAGCUUCGGCGGUUUUGGAUGGACUCGCGGCUUAUCAGCUUGUUGGUGGGGUAGUGGCUUACCAAGGCUUUGACGGGUAGCCGGCCUGAGAGGGCGACCGGCCACAUUGGGACUGAGAUACGGCCCAGACUCCUACGGGAGGCAGCAGUGGGGAAUAUUGCACAAUGGGCGGAAGCCUGAUGCAGCAACGCCGCGUGCGGGAUGACGGCCUUCGGGUUGUAAACCGCUUUCAGCAGGGGCGAAGCUUGUGGUGACGGUACCUGCAGAAGAAGCACCGGCUAACUACGUG